rnacentral:misc_RNA from 1 species
UACGAAGGGGGCUAGCGUUGCUCGGAAUCACUGGGCGUAAAGGGCGCGUAGGCGGACAUUUAAGUCAGAGGUGAAAGCCCAGGGCUCAACCCUGGAACAGCCUUUGAUACUGGGUGUCUCGAGACCGGAAGAGGUUGGUGGAACUGCGAGUGUAGAGGUGAAAUUCGUAGAUAUUCGCAAGAACACCGGUGGCGAAGGCGGCCAACUGGUCCGGUUCUGACGCUGAGGUACGAAAGCAUGGGGAGCAAACAGG